AAAUCUACAGAACUCAAAGAUUUUGUGCAUCUGAUUAAAGCGGAAAGAAACCAAUAAUAGCAUCAAGUACGAAGAAAACUCAUACCAGCAUCAUGGAAGGAGUCACAUUUUACAAUAAAAAGUACAGCUUUAACCUAACAGUACAGGAAUCUUGGUUGAAAAGAUUCAGUUUGUGCCAAGGAUGACAUGAACACAAAAGAACUAAGAAAACUCAGAAGAAAGGCAUAACCUUCCCUUUGCCACGAUGACUUGCCCUGUGUCCCCUUGCAUCCAGUGAAGGAAGAAGAGGGUAGUUACAUUAUCCAACACCUGAGAUUCUUAGCACCAUCUUCUUCCUCUUCUUUCUCGACAUGGUCUGGUGCUGGAUCGAAACCAAUUAGUUCAGACAGAAAGAAACCCGAGGACUUUGGAUUUUGCCUUGGUUCGGUCUAUCUAACAAUCCCACUAUAUAAGCCUCUUGGACCCGAGAAACAACAGUGAAAGUAAACACACUUAAAUCUUUCUUUAAUCCAUACUUUACCUAAAUUUCCGAACACAAAACCAAAGAGAACAGAUCAACAAAGAAAAUUAAAACUUGAAAAACUGGUCCCACGAGGCAUCAUUAUGUAAAUGAGACAUGCUUAUCCCACUAAGGACCAUGUGAUUAUUCUUCUUUUAUGUAGAUUACACUGCUCUUUCAAUUGGGCGAGGGAUUCCAAGUGGAGAAAAGACAGAGAGAUGGAUAAUAAUUGAAGAGUGCCAGAGAAAAAGUUAGAAGACAGGUGUAGGGCUAACACAUCAACGAAGAAAGAAAAUUGUAAACAAUUGAAAGGUAGUUAAAGUUGUUCAUGGCAACAAAAUAGAUAAUAUACCUCUGCUUUUUACAAGGAAGAAGGGCUUUGCACCGUCCACUUAUUACCCCACUUUUGUAUUUGGAUGUGAGAAUCUGUGCGUCAAAUAGCACUAAUCCGUGUCCAGUUGGAGAAGCUUUGAAGCUAAAUGUGGAAAGACUGUGCAUGGAGAAUAGUCAAAAAAGACAAAAGCUAUUAUUGAUGAGAAGUGGUAAUGAGUGACGAUACAUGUUUCUUCUCUUUGCCCCUUCCAAACAAUCGACAGCACCCUUGGAUUGUGGAGAGCAUGGAUAAGCUCUUCUUUUUAUGUACAAGUAAGAUGGCCUUUUCUGCAACUUACACCUUCAUUUUCCCCUUUCAACUUGUGACUUGCAGUGCAGACAAAUGAAAAAAUAUUAUGAUAAUACUGAAAUGGAAAGAUUUCUGCUGCAUAUAUGUAAAUAACA
rnacentral:lncRNA from 1 species